GUUUGUUUGUUUUUGUCUUUUAGGGCCCCACCUGCAGCAUAUGGAAGUUCCCAGGCUAGGGGUCUAAUUGGAACUGUAGCUGUCAGCCUACACCACAGUAACAUGGGAUCCAAGCCUCGUCUGCAACCUACACCACAGCUCACGGCAACACCAGAUCCUUAACCCACUGAAUGAGGCCACGAAUCGAACCCACAUCUCAGGGAUGCUAGUUGGGUUCGCUAACCACUGAGCCAUGAUGGGAACUCCCACAUUUGCAUUUUGAUUGAGUUAUAUGCAUACAUCUCCACUGUAGUUUUUGCAUGUGUAAUUUUUUUCCAUUUAAUCACUAAUUUGUUGAAUGCCUACUAUGUUCAGGAAAAUAGGGAUUCUCAUUAAGACAACAAUAUACAAGACAAGAAUACUACUUUAUGUUGCUUAUUCACAACAUUAUUCACUAUUAUUCUCCCUCAAAAUAUUUGUGCACUACAGUUUUCAAGGAUAUUUCCGUUCAAGGGACAGUAAGAUGCUAUUUGGCAUUUUAAUCACCUCCUUGAGCACUGCCAUUCUGGAACAUCUGUCUCACCAUUUGGCUAAUAUAUGCUGUGUCUUUUUUUUCCCCAAGAUUCAAAGUUACAGAAGCAUUUAGUUACUUCAUGAAGCCUCUUUGAUGGCUUAGGCAUGUUGAGAAAACAUUAAGUAAAGGGGAAGCAAGCUGUUCAUGAUAGGUCUUUUGAACAGUGAAAAAAAUAUUCAUAAAAAUGUAUGUGGCACUCUAAUAUAAAAGAAGCACAGAGUCCCUGGGAGUGUAGCUUUGGAAUGACCCUUAAAUGUCUCUCUUUCAACAUCUCACUCCAUGUUUCCUUCUCCAAGUACCCACAGCAGACCAUGAUCACUGCUUUUGUCCUUAAAAACUCAGGCACUUACUACCUUGAAACACUGUUCUGACCCUUAGAAACUUCUUCCCAUAGAUGAGUCAAAACGCCUCUUUUACUCCUUGGACUGCAGUUUCACCACUAGUUCGUCUUGGAACAAAUCUAAACUUCCUUACAAAUGGUGGCAUUCACAUGGUUAAAAGCAAACAAAGGUCUUUACAGUCACCUUAAUUUCAUUGCUUAAAAUCAUUUCCAAAUAAAGGCAAGUAAGAUAUUUAGAAACAGAGCCACAGUAGUUGUAGACAGCAAACCAAGGGGCUGUGAUCACGUGGGUGUGAGACCACAUCCAAAAUUAAAAAUUAAGCUGUGUGGUUUAAUGACUUUACAUUAGUAUCUUUAACUGAUGUUGAAUUUUAAAGAUGAAAUGGAUACUUUUAUUCGGUAAUUUCUGUGCCAUUCAACUUUCUAAGCAUUGGGGAUGUGAUGGUGAGGUCCUCAUUCUCAUGUAAGUUAUAUUUUAAAGGAAGAUAAGUAAAAUCAAGAAAAAAGAUAUGGUAGCAGAAGUGACCAUGAAUGUUGGAGUUGAGGGGGAACCAGUAUAAAUAGGGGAAAAACCUCUGGGGUGAUGUGUUGGAGUUAUAGCCUAAUUGUCAAGAAGAAGCCAUUCAAGAAUGAUCUUUGAGAAUAGAACUGUCCCUGAGAGGGAAUAGCUAUUGCAGAGGCUAGGAGUGGGGGUGGCUGAGCAAGGAACUCAAAGUAACUCACACACUAUUGUGAUGUGUGUGGAUUAUGACAAAGGUCAAGUUUGGAGGAGGUGGUAGGAAGAAAGAUUGGAGAUACAAGUAAAGACCAGAGCACAUGUUUCUAGAAAACUCUCCCAGAUCUUUUAUCUAAUAUAAGGACAAUACCAUAGAAAGGGUGAGUAAAGUAUGGGAGGUCACACAUCUAGGCAGUUGAUGAUUCAGAACUAUAAUUUCUCAUAUCACUUUGACCACUGAGUCCAUAGGCAGUUUGAGUGAACAGAGUUUUACACAGAAUAUAAGAUUGAGGUAUUGACAGAGGUCUCACAGAGAUCUGAGAUGUGGGCAUAAAAAGAAAAAUUCACCAGUGGAAUAAUUAAUUCCAUUGUUAACCUAAAUCCUAUGUUUCAAGUUUUCUUCCCACUGAGCUAGCAGGAAAUUCAUCUUGGUCACAGCUGAUGCUCUUUCCCCCACCCCCUAGAAUGUGCAGAUGUGCAGCUCAUGGAACCCUGCUCCCUCCCUCUAAAUCACUUAGUCUCUGAUCCAAGGUCCUAUAGCCUCUUAGGCUUUUCUGGGAGUGCAGUGCCCUCCCACAUGUCACCUGAGCGUGCCCACAUCCUGGCCUCCACUGGGCUCCAGGGGUGUAAGGUAAAGCCCUGCUGAGUCUCUGUCCUCCCAAAGCUCUCUCCUAAGCUUCCUCUAUCUCAAUAGUGUCUCAAAAUCUUUUCCUCAAUGAACUUUAAAUACUUUUUCCUUCCUAGGUGUGGGUAUGGAGAAAUACUAUCCUAAAUUCAGGGUUUUUUAUUUCUCCCCAAACCAAUACACAGUUGACACUUGGACAACAUGGGUUUCAACUGUACUGGUCCACUUACAAGCACAUUUAAAAAAUGGUAUGAUGUGAUCUGUGGUUAAGUUCGAAGGUGUAAACCAUGAAUAGGGAGGGCUGACGGUACAGCUGUACACAGAUUUUCAACUGCAUGGGGAGGGGUUGAUGCUCCAACCCCCACAUUAGUUCAACUGUACAUAUGAUCUCUCGAUCCACAGAGAAGUCCAUAAACCUAGAAUUUCUACUAAGACUUUUAAACUGUCUUGCCAGUCAUUUCAAACAUCACUUCUUGUAAUGUUAUCUUCAGGGUCUGCUCUGUUGUUUAAUUUUUUCCAUGUCUACAGGGCCUCCAGUGGUGUCCUGGACAUUCGGCAUGAGAUCCUGGGGACACAUCUCUGCACACUUAGAAAGGUUUGUCAGUAGGGGCAAGAGCCAGUCAUUUGACAUCAAAGUUCAUGUGACUUCAAUUCAGCUCAUGCCCUCCAUAGAUUAAUAUAGCUCCAGCCUACGGCUCACAUGAAGAGAUGAGUGUGGCUGCAGUCUAAUUUUCUUCUGCUAUUGAAAAGAGUCAUCAGUGUGAUGAAAGAGUAUUCCCAAGGGUUGAGCAAGUUUUAUGCCCAUGCACAUCUAUCCUGGAAUAGUUGGCCAAUGUUUUCCUUCACUCUAGCCCAUGAAACUCAAGGGAGAAAAGAUUUUUCCCUUAAUGACCCCACCUUCAAUAUAUGUAUUUCAUACAGACUGGGAAUCCUAGCUAGCUCUCUUCCAUGUUAAAAAAAAAAUGACCAUGAAUAUAAAUGCACCCAACCUGAUUACCAAGAAGGAAAUGACUUCAUUUAACAUAACUGAUUAAGGAUUUGAUAUUGAUUAGGUUUUCCCUUACAGAACUUUAUUUGUGCCAAUGUUGGCAUACUGAAGCUUAAGCAAGGUGAUAUCUCGGGAAAGAAAACCUUAAAGCUCUGCUUUACCUAUUUUUAAAGUGUAGUUGAUUUAUAGUAUUGUACCAAUUUCUGCUAUACAGCAAAAUGACUCAGUUAUACAUACAUAUACUCUUAAUAUUCUUUUCCAUCAUAGUCUAUCUCAGGAGACUGUAUAUAUUCCCUGUGCUGUACAGCAGGACCUCAUUGCUUAUGCAUUUUAAAUGUCAUAGUUUGCAUCUACUAACCCCAAGCUCCCAGGCCAUCCCAUUCCCUCCCCCAUACCCACUUGGCAACCACAAGUCUGUUCUCUGAGUCUGUUUCUGUUCUAUAGAUAGAUUCAUUUGUGCCACAUUUUAGAUUCCACAUAUAAGUGAUACAUGGUAUUUGUCCUUUAGAAUAUUUAAAAUUUAAAUACUAACAGUUAACAAUUUCUAUGAAACUAUUUAAAAGUAAACAAGAAUAACAUGAAAUGCUCAGAUUCAGAAUUAAGAAAAUACAUUUCACUGUUUACUUUUUUGCAUGAAAUUCGACUCCCUCUUGGCAGUGUUCUAAUCUGCUCAUUUUCUGAAUUUUAAUCACAAGUGGACCAGGGUUAUGGCAGGAUACUGCUCAGCUCAUGUGGUGAGUGUGUAAUUCAGUUCAGACCAAAUACUGUUUAGUAAAGAGGAUUCCUUGACCAUGCUACAGAGACCUGGCUCUAAUGUGGCCACUUUCCUCAGUCAUUUUAGAAAAGUUAUUUCCUUCUUUGGAAAGAGUAAGAUAAGGCUUGAAAUUGCGUACAAAGCAGGGAUCUCCUCUUCAAUUUCCCUGUCACAUAAUCUAGAGAUUCAAGGUUUCUGCUUUGGAGAAAUUUCCUGUUCUCUGAGAAAAUGUCUCUACACUUGGGAAAUUCCACUACACCUGGGAAUUUCCACAAGGAUAGCAAGAGCUCCCUACAGAUACUCUUAUGGUGAAACCCCCAAAACAGCAAACAGGCAAUGCAACUAUAUAGGAAUGAUGUGUGGAAAAAUGCCAGGAAAUAAUGGAAAUCAACCUAAAAUUGAUAGAGCACAAAACAGGAGUAUACACAUGCUGUUAAUAAAUGAAACCCUCACUAAUUAUUAAAGAAAUGCAAAUCAAAACUACUAUGAGGUACCAUCUCACACCAGUCAGAAUGGCCAUCAUUAACAAGUCAACAAAUAACAAAUGCUAGAGAGGAUGUGGACAAAAAGAUACCUUCUUCACUGUUGGUGGGAAUGUAAAUAGGUACAACCACUAUGGAAAACAGCAUGUAGGUACCUCAGGAAAAUAAAUAUAGAGUUACCAUAUGAUCCAGCAAUUCCACUGCUGGGCAAAACUUUUGUUGUGAAAGAUAAAUGCACCCCUAUGUUCAUAGCAGCACUAUUCACAGUAGCCAAGACAUAGAAACAACCUAAAUGUUCAUUGACAGAUGAAUGGAUUAAGAAGGUGUGCUACAUAUAUAAAAUGAAAUAUUAGCCACAGAAAAGACAAACUAAUGCCAUUUGCAGCAACAUGGAUGGAUCUAGAGACUCUCAAACUAAGUGAAGUCAGUCAGAGAGAGAGAGACAAAUACCAUAUGAUAUCACUUAUUUGUGAAAUCUAAAGUAUGGAACAGAAGAUUCUAUCUAAAAAUAACAAAAAACAGAAACAGAUCAUGGCUAAGAAGAGCAGACUUGGGGUUCCCAAGGGGGAAAGGGGAGGGGAUGGAUGGGCAUUUGGGUUUUGUUUUUUCUUUUUUGGAUGCAAACUGUUUUAUUGAGAAUGGAUGGGCAAUGGGAUCCUACUGUACAGCACAGGGAAAUGUGUGUGAUUGGGUCACUUUGUUGUACAACAGAACUUGAUGAAACAUAAAUCAACUAUACUUUAAUAAUAAAAAAAAUAA
rnacentral:lncRNA from 1 species